AUACACUAGGGGUCUGUCCCAAAACCUAGGGAGCUCUCUACAUAGACAGCUUCUUACGUCAUGGGAUGCGCGUUCCCGAGAAGUAGGCUGUCCCAAUUCUUAGAUACCUUAAAAUGCUGUCUACUAAGAUACCUUAUUCUGACCCUGUAAUAAGAGAGCAUUAGACCCUUCCUCAGCCGGUAAGGCAAUCCCAUGAUGCAGCGCGGGCAGCACAGCGUAGCUCAACUUCUUCCAUCAUGGCGGACGGAAGUGGAUCGGCCAGCGGCGAAGUCAUUUUCAAAUGACUAUUGUUCUGGAAUUGGGGCUUGCGGACAAAGUAAAAGAAAUGGGAAAACUUAAAAAAUAAAUACAAUGCUGAACAACAUCUCCCGCUCCCAUGCAGAUGUUGUGCAGAGUGACACAGGCAGCAAUCACCUCUGGCACAUACCUUGGGUUCACUUCUUGAGCAUGCAGGAAAAUUGACCUCUAUCUGGUCUUCAGCGUCCCAAAACCACGUUCAAUUGUAGAACGUGCCCUUGCAUGAUGCCUAUUGAAGGCCACCCUCUCUUCUCCACUGACAGGCUUCUUGAAUGGAGUGAUGAGGGCUAUGGGCUGAGAGAUACAUGGGUACCCACCAUCACCAAGGAUCAUGUAGCCUCUGGGUGGGAAAGUGGCCUGCCGAUACAGAGUGCUGUAACAGAGCGCCCUUGCAUCACGUACUGAGCCAGGAAAGCAAAUAAAAACAUCAAGAAACUUUGCCUGGUGGUCACAGACAGCCUGAAAUUGCACAGAGGGGUAGAGCUUCCGAUUUCUGUAGCAAUGUGCAUCAGGUUCUCCAGAGUCUUUGAUUUGCACAUGGCACCCAUCUAUGGCACCCACUACAGAGUGGAAAGCUGCAUGGAUUCCCAGCCUCACAAAGUCAUCAGAGAUGCUCUGCAGUUCUCCGGGUUUUGGGUGCCGGAUAACUUUCGGAAGGAUUCACCGCAUUUCAUUGGCCACUCUGUGAAUUACACGGUGCACUAUAGAACGGGGCAUAGAAAAAGCACGGGACACAACACAGUAUGAUGUGCCACAGGCCAACCAAAAAAGAAAAACCAAGACUUCAAUGGUCCCUCCCCAACCAUGGGUGCUCUUGUGCUGAAUAAGUUUAAAAAGCACUUUCAGGGAUUCACGAUUCAGGCGAAAGUCAGGCUUGGUGUCUUGGGUGUCGUCUGGGAAUAUUCUCAGAAGUGGUACACUUGAAUUCAGAGCACAGUAUCUUGUAGGUCUUUCUCCCUGCAAGAAAAAUUACUUUUAUAUAUGCUAUUUAUUUAUUUAUUUAUUUAUUUAGUGUGUGUGAACAGUUAUUUUGCAAAACAGAAAAGUGAUUUGUUCCUUUGUGUUUAAAGAAUAUCAUUUAUCUGUUUUGUAAAUUAACUGUUUGCACAGGUUCUAUUUAUGUAUUUAUUUAUUGAUUGAUUGAUUAAUUGUUAAUAAAUGAAUUGUCUGCAUGUGUAUAGUUGUAUCACUUUGAAGUUAGCAUAAAAUAAAAUGC